rnacentral:rRNA from 1 species
CCUACGGGAGGCUGCAGUGGGGAAUAUUGGACAAUGGGGGGAACCCUGAUCCAGCGACGCCGCGUGAGUGAAGAAGUAUUUCGGUAUGUAAAGCUCUAUCAGCAGGGAAGAAAGAAAUGACGGUACCUGACUAAGAAGCCUCGGCUAACUACGUGCCAGCAGCAGCGGUAAUACGGCGGGGGCAAGCGUUAUCCGGCUGUACUGGGUGUAAAGGGAGCGUAGACGGCGAUGCAAGUCUGAAGUGAAAGUCGGGGGCCCAACCCCCGGACUGCUUUGGAAACUGGAUGGCUGGAGUGCAGGAGAGGUAAGUGGAAUUCCUAGUGUAGCGGUGAAAUGCGUAGAUAUUAGGAGGAACACCAGUGGCGAAGGCGGCUUACUGGACUGUAACUGACGUUGAGGCUCGAAAGCGUGGGGAGCAAACAGGAUUAGAUACCCGAGUAGUC